AGUGAACGCUGGCGGUAGGCCUAACACAUGCAAGUCGAACGGCAGCACAGUAAGAGCUUGCUCUUACGGGUGGCGAGUGGCGGACGGGUGAGGAAUACAUCGGAAUCUACUUUUUCGUGGGGGAUAACGUAGGGAAACUUACGCUAAUACCGCAUACGACCUACGGGUGAAAGCAGGGGAUCUUCGGACCUUGCGCGAUUGAAUGAGCCGAUGUCGGAUUAGCUAGUUGGCGGGGUAAAGGCCCACCAAGGCGACGAUCCGUAGCUGGUCUGAGAGGAUGAUCAGCAACACUGGAACUGAGACACGGUCCAGACUCCUACGGGAGGCAGCAGUGGGGAAUAGUGGACAAUGGGCGCAAGCCUGAUCCAGCCAUACCGCGUGGGUGAAGAAGGCCUUCGGGUUGUAAAGCCCUUUUGUUGGGAAAGAAAAGCAGCAGGUUAAUACCCCGCUGUUCUGACGGUACCCAAAGAAUAAGCACCGGCUAACUUCGUG
rnacentral:rRNA from 1 species